rnacentral:rRNA from 1 species
UACGGAGGGGGCUAGCGUUGUUCGGAAUUACUGGGCGUAAAGCGCGCGUAGGCGGCUUUGUAAGUCAGAGGUGAAAGCCCGGAGCUCAACUUCGGAAUAGCCUUUGAGACUGCAUCGCUUGAAUCCAGGAGAGGUGAGUGGAAUUCCGAGUGUAGAGGUGAAAUUCGUAGAUAUUCGGAAGAACACCAGUGGCGAAGGCGGCUCACUGGACUGGUAUUGACGCUGAGGUGCGAAAGCGUGGGGAGCAAACAGG